UACGGAGGGUGCAAGCGUUAUCCGGAUUCACUGGGCGUAAAGGGUGCGUAGGUGGUGGGGUAAGUUUGAUGUGAAAUCUCCGGGCUCAACCCGGAAAUGGCAUUGAAUACUAUCUCGCUAGAGAGUCGGAGGGGGGGACUGGAAUACUUGGUGUAGCAGUGAAAUUCGUAGAUAUUCGGAAGAACACCAGUGGCGAAGGCGACUUACUGGACACAUAUUGACGCUGAGGUGCGAAAGCGAUGGGGAGCAAACAGGGGAUUAAGAA
rnacentral:rRNA from 1 species